rnacentral:rRNA from 1 species
CCUCGGGUGGCAGCAGUGAGGAAUAUUGCGCAAUGGCCGAAAGGCUGACGCAGCGACGCCGUGUGGAGGAAGAAGGCCCUUGGGUUGUAAACUCCUGUCAGUAGGGAAGAAAAAAAUGACAGCACCUGCAGAGGAAGCCCCGGCUAACUACGUGCCAGCAGCCGCGGUAAGACGUAGGGGGCAAGCGUUGUUCGGAAUUAUUGGGCGUAAAGAGCUUGUAGGCUGGAAUUUAAGUCUCCGAAUAAAGCUCACAGCUUAACUGUGAGACAUUUGGAGAUACUGAAUUUCUUGAGAACAGGAGAGGGGAGUGGAAUUCCUAGUGUAGCGGUGAAAUGCGUAGAUAUUAGGAGGAACACCAGUGGCGAAGGCGGCUCUCUAGCCUGUUUCUGACGCUGAGGAGCGAAAGCUGGGGGAGCAAACG